AUUGAACGCUGGCGGCAUGCCUUACACAUGCAAGUCGAACGGUAACAGGUCUUCGGAUGCUGACGAGUGGCGCACGGGUGAGUAAUACAUCGGAACGUGCCCGAUCGUGGGGGAUAACGAAGCGAAAGCUUUGCUAAUACCGCAUACGAUCUACGGAUGAAAGCAGGGGACCGCAAGGCCUUGCGCGAACGGAGCGGCCGAUGACAGAUUAGGUAGUUGGUGGGAUAAAAGCUUACCAAGCCGACGAUCUGUAGCUGGUCUGAGAGGACGACCAGCCACACUGGGACUGAGACACGGCCCAGACUCCUACGGGAGGCAGCAGUGGGGAAUUUUGGACAAUGGGCGAAAGCCUGAUCCAGCCAUGCCGCGUGCAGGAUGAAGGCCUUCGGGUUGUAAACUGCUUUUGUACGGAACGAAAAGACUCUGGUUAAUACCUGGGGUCCAUGACGGUACCGUAAGAAUAAGCACCGGCUAACUACGUG
rnacentral:rRNA from 1 species